rnacentral:rRNA from 1 species
GAUGAACGCUAGCGGCAGGCUUAACACAUGCAAGUCGAGGGGUAUAGGUUUUCGGACCUAGAGACCGGCGCACGGGUGCGUAACGCGUAUGCAAUCUACCUUUCACAGAGGGAUAGCCCAGAGAAAUUUGGAUUAAUACCUCAUAGUAUUAUAGAAUGGCAUCAUUUUAUAAUUAAAGUCACAGCGGUGAAAGAUGAGCAUGCGUCCCAUUAGCUAGUUGGUAUGGUAACGGCAUACCAAGGCUACGAUGGGUAGGGGUCCUGAGAGGGAGAUCCCCCACACUGGUACUGAGACACGGACCAGACUCCUACGGGAGGCAGCAGUGAGGAAUAUUGGUCAAUGGGCGCAAGCCUGAACCAGCCAUGCCGCGUGCAGGAUGACGGUCCUAUGGAUUGUAAACUGCUUUUGUACGGGAAGAAACACUCCUACGUGUAGGAACUUGACGGUACCGUAAGAAUAAGGAUCGGCUAACUCCGUGCCAGCCGCCGCCGUAA